rnacentral:rRNA from 1 species
GAUAAACGUUGGCGGCGUGCCUAACGCAUGCAAGUCGCACGGGGCGCAAGCCUAAUGGCGGACGGGUGAGUAACACGUAGGAACCUGCCCAGAAGUGGGGGACAACUCUCCGAAAGGAGAGCUAAUACCGCAUACGGUCUACGGACCAAAGCUUCGGCGCUUCUGGAGGGGCCUGCGGUGGAUUAGCUAGUUGGUGGGGUAACGGCCUACCAAGGCGUCGAUCCAUAGCUGGUCUGAGAGGAUGAUCAGCCACACUGGGACUGAGACGCGGCCCAGACUCCUACGGGAGGCAGCAGCGAGGAAUUUUGCACAAUCGACGAAAGUCGGAUGCAGCAACGCCGCGUGGGGGAAGAAGGCUUUCGAGUUGUAAACCCCUUUUGUGAGGGAAGAAGAUCUGACGGUACCUCACGAAUAAGUCACGGCUAACUACGUGCCAGCCGCCGCAGUAACAC